rnacentral:lncRNA from 1 species
CACUGGGAGAGGUCAAGUUAGCCACGCUCCAGGCGCAAGAAGAAGGAAAUAAGCAUCACGAAGAAAGGCAGGCUCGCUUCCAAUCUCGCCAAACAGCCAACGAACAAGUAGAGCUGAAAAUCAAAUCCUUGAAAGAAGAAUUUGAUGCUAGCGAAAUUCUCGAGGAAAAGCUCGAAGAAACAACGGAGGCAGUCAAGCUUUUGCAAGAACAGCUGCAAAAUGUUAGAGAAUCAGAUAUGUCCUCUCUGAAAAUCGCCACAGCAGAGCUUGAUGAUGCUACAAGAAAACUGCGAGAAAUUGUGCAUGAACAAAACUUACAGAGAAGCUCAGUAGAUUUCCUUAAGGAGGAGCUUGAUAAUGUCAAGAGGGACCAUUCUGAAUUGAAGGACAAGGCAUCGAAAGCAGAAUUAACAGCUGAAACUUUGCAAAGUGAAUUGGAGAGAUAUAAAGCACAGCUCGACGCAGCUCUUGCAGGAGAUCCCAAGGAGAGUACGAUGAUAUGCGCUUAAAACUCCAACAGCUGGUGUCGGAGGCUGAAAAUGCUAGGCAGGGAGCAGA